rnacentral:rRNA from 1 species
GACGAACGCUGGCGGCGUGCUUAACACAUGCAAGUCGAGCGGUAAGGCCCUUUGGGGUACACGAGCGGCGAACGGGUGAGUAACACGUGAGUAAUCUGCCUUUGGCUUGGGAAUAACUUCGGGAAAUCGGGGCUAAUGCCUGAUGUUUACUGUCUGCUGCAUGGUGGGUGGUGGAAAGAUUUUUUGGCCAGGGAUGAGCUCGCGGUCUAUCAGCUUGUUGGUGGGGUAAUGGCUACCAAGGCUUUGACGGGUAGCCGGCCUGAGAGGGUGUUCGGCCACACUGGGGACUGAGACACGGCCCAGACUCCUACGGGAGGCAGCAGUGGGGAAUAUUGCGCAAUGGGCGUAAGCCUGACGCAGCGACGCCGCGUGGGGAUGAAGGCC